CUCCCCAGCCGUGCAGAACUGUGAGUCAAUUAAACCUCUUUCCUUCAUAAAUUACCCAGUUUUGGGAAGCUCUUUAUAGCAGUGUGAAAACGGACUAAUACAAUGCCCAACUCACUGCCUUCAGCCCAGCUCUCACUCUUCUGAGCUCAGACCCUGUUAUCCAAUUGCCUGCUGAACAUCUCUUUACUCUCCUUCUUAAUGAGAGGUCCAGGAAUUACAGGAUUUAGCUAACUCCUACUCAACCUCUAGGCCUUACAUUAGAUGUCCCUUCCCCCAGGAAGCCUUCCCUGACUCUCUCUAUCCUGACAGGGUGCCCCCCUCCUAUGCACCACGUGGGUUUGUACCUCCUCUAUCACAAACCUUAGCAUAUGCUGCUGUGAGUCCUUGCACUGUGUCUCCUCCACCAGGCUGCAAGCUCCGUGAGGGCAGGACCGCACCUCUGUUUUGUUCAUGGCUGUGUCUCCAGCACCUGGUUAGAGGCAAGGUGCCAAGGCAGUGCUCUGUAAAGGUGUGUCCAAAGUGAAACUGAAGGAAUUACUACACCAUCCAAGUCUGCACACAAAAAUUUUCAACCCUGAUGACUGAAGCCGACUGGAGGUCUGCAAAUUCGAGUUUGAACACCCAAGAUUCGAUGUAAAACAAGCAAGCUUGAUUGGUGGCCAGAAAACACUGUCAAAGAAAGGGUUUUCUUCCUGUCGCCCCCCUUGUAUGAUUUAUGUGAAUUUUGUUGCCUGUCACAUUGGGGUUAAAACAGCCUCUAGCUAUUCAGAUCAAGGAUGUGGUGCCAAGUCACCCACUGCAUAUGGUUAAGCAUUUGGGAAUCAGGGAUUCCUUUAAGAAUCUAAAAAAAAAAAAAAAA